AUUACGGUAAUACGCCACUCCCCUUCUUCUCUACGAAGACUCGUUCAAUUUCAGAUUCACCGUUCUUUCCAGUGGCAUGCGUCAAUUCACCUUCGCCUUCUCCAAGAUGAUGCGCGCCUUCAAGCAGGCUCUCUACGUCAGUGGACUUUCAUUCCAGAUUACUGAAGAGAGCUUGCGAAAUGCCUUCAAAAGCUUUGAUCAACUUGUAUAAGUCAAUUUGGUGAUGGAUAAGGUAGCCAAUCGACCAAGAGGAUUUGCCUUCCUCAGUUAUGCUACUGAAGAGGAAUCUCAAAAAGCUAUUGAAAGAAUGCACCGCCAGGUAAUUUAAAACCUCCAUCUCUGCAAUCUCCACUCUGUCUAACCUCUUACAAAUGCGUCUAGUCUUCAUAAUUCAUAUUUUUGUUGACUUAAUCGCCAAAAUUCACUUAAUGCUCAAAGUGUGCGUCGCGAAGUGAUGUCUCAUUUGAAUUAGCCAGUCUUAAUGCUCUUUUCUUAUUCACUGUGAUUUUGUUAUGAAUGUGAUUCGCUGUCCAUAAGUAUAUUUCCUUUAGCCGAAGACAGAUCCAUCUAUAAGUGCUCUAAAUGACUUUAAUCUAGUAAUUGCGAAGUUCAGUUCCUCAACCUUAUGAUAUACAAUUAUAGAAUGCACAACUAGAUACUACGAAAAAUUAUAAAUGGACUCCAGUUUAGGCAUUACAAAGCAGAAAAUUACCCUCAAAUUCUCUAUAAAUUUAGCUAGAUUAUAGAUAUCUAGAUAGGAGGAGUUGGAUAUAAUAGAUCUAAGGUAGCUUCGAAGAUCCAUGUAUUCUUAAUAUUGCUUCAUUUCCCAGUUGUGGAACAUUAUAACCAAAAUAUCAACGUUUCUAGAAUACUCGACAUGAUGAGUCAAUUGUAAUAAAAUUCAGUAUAAUUUAUUAUGGACCUAGAAGAGAAUUGAUUAGAGAAAUAUCAUGGUCAAACCUUAAUUGCUGGCUUGACUUGUCAUAAACGAUCACUGUUUAUGACCUUGCUAUAAGGAGGGUUUAUUUUGAAGUAAACUCAAACAAUACGUAUUUCAGUAAAUGUGUGUUUUUAACGAACGAUUUGUGUAUCCGAGCUCCAUAACUGGCCGAAGUACUGUUAAAUAUGAGGCACUCUUUGGCCUCGUGGUGGUUUCCAACAAUUUUGUAAUGACAACUAUGUUUGUCGAAAUGAAUAUUCAAAGAACUUAUUCUCAGGUUUAUUCGGUGGAUAUGCCCUCCCCACCUCUUCUCAUUGGGAAACAUGAAUUGAUAAGAUACUCUUAUC